AGGCGCGCGGCAUCGCCCCAGCGGUUCCCCUCGCGCAUCUGGCCAAGCAGGGCGAUCGAGGACUGGGGUCCCCAAGGUAUUUUCUGAGCAGCUCUCCUGUGCAAGAACCCAGACCAAACUCAAUGGGAAGCGAAACCUGCUAGUUCCUGCCCUCAUUGGGCUCCAUUUUGCAGAUUGGGACACCGAGGCUCAGGAGGGCAAAUUGAAGACCAGAAAAGAGGUGCCCGAAGUCUCCCAGCUGGCAAGAAGCAAAGCUGGCCUGGAGCUAUGUGAAUGAAAUGGGGGUAUCCUGGAGAGAGCCCCCCCCACCGCCCUGCUCUGUUUCUCCAGUGCCUUCUGCCUACCGUUCCUGACCCAUCCCAGAGGUUUCUCAUUCUUCAAGGUAACUCAAAGCCUCCACCUUGAGGAAGCCUUCUCUGUACCCCACCCACCCUGACUCAUAUAUGUCUGAACAUAAGGUUGCCUGGUAUCUGAGUUACUAGUUUCUCAUAUUACUUUUCUCAGUUACUUGAUUUCUAAACACAAGUCCUGUUGGGGAAAGGUACGUUAGUUUGAAACACCCUCGAUCCACGUGGGUUUGGGAUGCAUAUAGAGGUCAGCUUUAUUUUAAAAGGAGUAAAAGAAAUGUUACUCAUGUAAA